UUAAACGAUGUCCCCAUCUGCAGGCGUGUUGACCGGCAAGAACAUGAACUAUGCCGUCCUGGCAUCAGCAUCUGCAGUCGUGUGAUGUUCGGCAUCCGCUACAACUCCGACGAGCUUCAAAUGCCAAGUGUAGCUGAUCUUAUUUGUAAGGGGACAUUUUUUCUAGAUGAUCUUGACUGUGAUCCAGAAUGAGGUGUGGAUCAUCUUGGAGAAGCGAGGCAACAAUCA